GGAACAAGCUCAAUUAUUCGACAAGUAUGUAUUCAUCCACUCUGCAAGAUGCUGAAGUAGUGUCAAUCAAAACACACCUUUCAUUGCUUCUCAUAAAGCUUACAGUCUAAAAUUUUAUUGAACGAUUGGCAGAUUUUUUAAAAAAUUACAUUGGUAUACAAUUACCAUUUCCAAUUGCAAAAUUAUAUAAUGACUAUCAGCUGUGGAAGACAAUUACGGACAUGAUCAAAGCAUUUAGCAGGGGUUGUACUUCUUUUGUACCAUUUCUUCAGCUGUCUACCUUGUUUCUGGCUCAUCACCAAUAGCUUAUGAGGCAAAAAUUGCCAAAUAUG
rnacentral:lncRNA from 1 species